UGGGGAAUUCUGGACAAUGGGCGAAAGCCUGAUCCAGCAAUGCCGCGUGAGUGAAGAAGGCCUUCGGGUUGUAAAGCUCUUUUGUCAGGGAAGAAACGGUGAGAGCUAGUAUCUUUUGCUAAUGACGGUACCUGAAGAAUAAGCACCGGCUAACUACGUGCCAGCAGCCGCGGUAAUACGUAGGGUGCAAGCGUUAAUCGGAAUUACUGGGCGUAAAGCGUGCGCAGGCGGUUUUGUAAGUCUGAUGUGAAAUCCCCGGGCUCAACCUGGGAAUUGCAUUGGAGACUGCAAGGCUAGAAUCUGGCAGAGGGGGGCAGAAUUCCACGCGUAGCAGUGAAAUGCGUAGAUAUGUGGAGGAACACCGAUGGCGAAGGCAGCCCCCCUGGGUCGAGAUUGACGCUCAUGCACGAAAGCGUGGGGAGCAAACAGGAUUAGAUACCCUGGUAGUCCACGCCCUAAACGAUGUCUACUAGUUGUCGGGUCUUAAUUGACUUGGUAACGCAGCUAACGCGUGAAGUAGACCGCCUGGGGAGUACGGUCGCAAGAUUAAAAA
rnacentral:rRNA from 1 species